rnacentral:rRNA from 1 species
UACAGAGGGGGCAAGCGUUGUUCGGAAUUACUGGGCGUAAAGGGCGCGUAGGCGGCCUGUUAAGUCGAACGUGAAAUCCCUAGGCUCAACCUAGGAACUGCGUCCGAUACUGGCAGGCUUGAAUCCGGGAGAGGGAUGCGGAAUUCCAGGUGUAGCGGUGAAAUGCGUAGAUAUCUGGAGGAACACCGGUGGCGAAGGCGGCAUCCUGGACCGGCAUUGACGCUGAGGCGCGAAAGCCAGGGGAGCAAACAGG